AUAUCAAUAAGCGGAGGAAAGGAAACUAACAAGGAUUCCCCUAGUAACGGCGAGUGAAGCGGGAACAGCUCAAAUUUGAAAUCUCACAGGUUCCCUGUGCGAAUUGUAGUUUAAAGAAGUAUUUUCGGAGGCACACCAAGUCCAAGUCCUUUGGAACGAGGCAUCAUAGAGGGUGAGAAUCCCGUCUUUGGUUUGGAUUGUGUUUCUAUGUGAUAUACUUUCAAAGAGUCGGGUUGUUUGGGAAUGCGGCCCAAAAUGGGUGGUAUAUAUCAUCUAAAGCUAAAUAUUGGCGAGAGACCGAUAGCGCACAAGUA
rnacentral:rRNA from 1 species